rnacentral:rRNA from 1 species
CCUACGGGAGGCAGCAGUGGGGAAUAUUGGGCAAUGGGGGAAACCCUGACCCAGCAACGCCGCGUGAGGGAAGAAGGUUUUCGGAUGGUAAACUUCUUCCUUGGUGAAGAGGAAGAGGCGUACCAAGAGA